rnacentral:snRNA from 1 species
AUCCUUGUUAGAAGACAC